UACGUAGGGUCCGAGCGUUGUCCGGAAUUAUUGGGCGUAAAGAGCUCGUAGGCGGUUUGUCGCGUCUGCUGUGAAAUCCCGAGGCUCAACCUCGGGCCUGCAGUGGGUACGGGCAGGCUAGAGUACUGCAGGGGAGACUGGAAUUCCUGGUGUAGCGGUGAAAUGCGCAGAUAUCAGGAGGAACACCGGUGGCGAAGGCGGGUCUCCUGGG
rnacentral:rRNA from 1 species